UUAGGUUAAGUUAUGAAGGGCGCAUGGUGAAUGCCUUGGUACUAGGAGCCGAUGAAGGACGGGACUAACACCGAUAUGCUUCGGGGAGCGGUAAGUACGCUUUGAUCCGGAGAUUUCCGAAUGGGGCAACCCAAUCAGCUUAGUCGCUGAUUACUUGACUAGUGAAUACAUAGCUAGCAAGAGGUAGACGCAGUGAACUGAAACAUCUUAGUAGCUGCAGGAAGAGAAAGAAACAUCGAUUCCCUGAGUAGCGGCGAGCGAAAAGGGAAGAGCCCAAACCAACAAGCUUGCUUGUUGGGGUUGUAGGACUGAACAUUAGAGUUACCAAAGUGCGACGUAGUCGCAACAGUUGGGAAGCUGUGCCAUAGAGGGUGAAAGCCCCGUAGACGAAACGUCACACUCUCUGUUCAGGAUCCUGAGUACGGCGGGACACGUGAAACCCCGUCGGAACCCGCGAGGACCAUCUCGCAAGGCUAAAUACUCCCUAGUGACCGAUAGUGAACCAGUACCGUGAGGGAAAGGUGAAAAGCACCCCGGAAGGGGAGUGAAAUAGUUCCUGAAACCAUGUGCCUACAAGCUGUCGGAGCCCGUUAAUGGGUGACGGCGUGCCUCUUGCAGAAUGAACCGGCGAGUUACGAUUGCAUGCAAGGUUAAGGUGGAAAAACCGGAGCCGUAGCGAAAGCGAGUCUUAAAUGGGCGUAAGAAGUAUGUAGUUGUAGACCCGAAACCAGGUGACCUACCCAUGUCCAGGUUGAAGGUGCGGUAAAGCGCACUGGAGGACCGAACCCGUGUCAGUUGAAAAUGGCUGGGAUGAGGUGUGGGUAGCGGUGAAAUUCCAAACGAACUUGGAGAUAGCUGGUUCUCUCCGAAAUCUCUUUAGGGGGAGCCUUGAGGUAAAGAAUCGUGGAGGUAGAGCUACUGUUUGGACAAGGGGCCCGUCAUGGGUUACCAACUUCAGAUAAACUCCGAAUGCCAUCGAUUUAUACUCAGGAGUCAGACGAUGAGUGAUAAGAUCCACCGUCGAAAGGGGAACAGCCCAGAUCACCAGUUAAGGUCCCUAAAUAUAUGCUAAGUGGAAAAGGAUGUGGAGUUGCAUAGACAACUAGGAUGUUGGCUUAGAAGCAGCCACCAUUUAAAGAGUGCGUAAUAGCUCACUAGUCGAGUGAU
rnacentral:rRNA from 1 species